UAGCGUAGGGACCAAGCGUUGUUCGGAUUUACGUGGGCGUAAAGGGCGCGUAGGCGGCGUGUACAAGUCACUUGUGAAAAUCUCUGGGCUUAACCCAGAACGGCCAAGUGAAACUGUUGUGCUAGAGGUGCAGAAGGGGGACCAAUCGGAAUUCGUCGGAUGUAGCGGUGAAAUGCGUAGAUAUCGAAGAGGAACACCAGAGGUGGAAGACGGGUUGCUGGGCUGACACUGACGCUGGAGGCGACGGAAAGCUAGGGUAGCAAACGGG
rnacentral:rRNA from 1 species